rnacentral:rRNA from 1 species
AGAGUUUGAUCCUGGCUCAGAGCGAACGCUGGCGGCGUGCUUAACACAUGCAAGUCGAACGCGCAGUUUUCUGUAGCAAUACAGGAAAUGGGCGCGUGGCGAACGGGUGCGUAACACGUGGGCAACCUUCCCUUCGGUGGGGGAUACCCCCGCGAAAGCGGGACUAAUACCGCAUAACACUCCCUGGGUUAGUUCUCAGGGAUUCAAAGCAGCAAUGCGCCGGAAGAGGGGCCCGCGGCCGAUUAGCUAGUUGGUGAGGUAACGGCUCACCAAGGCUAAGAUCGGUAGCCGGUCUGAGAGGAUGAUCGGCCACACUGGAACUGAGACACGGUCCAGACUCCUACGGGAGGCAGCAGUGGGGAAUCUUGCGCAAUGGGCGAAAGCCUGACGCAGCGACGCCGCGUGGGGGAUGAAGCUUUUCGGAGCGUAAACCCCUUUCGACCCGGACGAAUGCCCGCAAGGGCUUGACGGUACGGGUAGAAGAAGCCCCGGCUAACUACGUGCCAGCAGCCGCGGUAAAACGUAGGGGGCCAGCGUUGCUCGGAAUUACUGGGCGUAAAGGGUCUGUAGGCGGUGCGGCAAGUCGGAAGUGAAAUCGCAGGGCUUAACUCUGCGGCUGCUCCCGAAACUGCCGUGCUCGAGUGCGAGAUAGGCGAGUGGAAUUGCAGGUGUAGCGGUGAAAUGCGUAGAUAUCUGCAGGAACAUCCGAGGCGAAAGCGGCUCGCUGGAUCGCAACUGACGCUGAGAGACGAAAGCUAGGGGAGCAAACAGGAUUAGAUACCCUGGUAGUCCUAGCCCUAAACGAUCAGGACUUGGCGUGGGCCCUGUACGGGGCUCGUGCCGUAGCUAACGCGAUAAGUCCUGCGCCUGGGGAGUACGGUCGCAAGGCUGAACUCAAAGGAAUUGACGGGGGCCCGCACAAGCGGUGGAACAUGUGGUUCAAUUCGACGCAACGCGAAGAACCUUACCUGGGCUUGAGUGCAACCGGGACCAGCCGU